CUUCUGUUGGUGAAGGUGUGAACAGCCGUGAAAUGCUUCAUAUGGAAAGGAGCAGGUGAGGCUGGAUGAAAGAUGAAAGACCUUGCUUCUACUCACACUAUUACCCAGGAAGGAAGCUCAGAACUCACAGGAGACAGUGGAGGCUGCUUAUGAGGGAGCCACAGCCCAUUGGAUGAUGCUGCCCACAUUUAAGAUGACAUAUCCCUUCAAUUAACUCUCUCUAGAAAUAUCCUCAUGGACAAAUCCAAAGGAAUGCCUCAGUGCCCUAGGCAUUUCUCAGUCUAAUCAAGUCGACCAUGGA